UUUUAACUUUGACCUAGGGAGAUCAAAGGAUAUGGUGAAGGAUUUAAGUGGCUGAAAUUAGCAAAUCCAGAAAUUCAAUAUUUUUAAAAUUUGAGAGGCAAGUCUUCACAGGGCAAAAAGGAAUCGCUUUUCUGUCCUAAUUCAGGGGAUAGAAAACAAACUCUUCAGCAAGAAGAAAAACAACCAUAACACCAUUAUGCAAGUGGAUAACCAGGUCUCUCCAGGGAAAGUUCCAUAUUUUUGUUCCAUUCGUUAUGGAAUCGCUUUCUUCCUGCUCCUCUGUAAUGUUAUAAUAAUGUCACAGCGUGUGUGUCUGAGCCUCACAAUGAUAGCCAUGGUGAACAGCACGGAGCCACAUGGUUUGUCCAACACCUCCACAAAGGUGCUCCAGGAUAACAUAAAGAACCCUGUGUAUAACUGGAGCACUGAAAUCCAGGGGAUCAUGUUAAGUUCCAUCUUCUAUGGUGUACUCAUCAGCCAAAUUCCUGCAGGAUAUUUAUCUGGAAUAUACUCUUUAAAGAAAAUGAUUGGUUUUGCAUUACUUCUCAGCUCUCUAUUUACCCUGCUCCUCCCACUGGCAGCUGAAUUUGGAGAAAUUUUGGUCAUUAUAUGCCGAGUAAUCAAGGGACUGUCCCAGGGGAUAACAUUAACAACUCAGCAAGUAAUAUGGAUCAAGUGGGCUCCUCCCUUGGAACUAGGCCGACUUACUUCUCUGAGUUUGUCAGGACUCCUACUAGGACCCUGUGUUGUCCUGCUUAUCACUGGAUUCAUCUGUGACUCCCUGGGAUGGCCCAUGGUCUUUUAUAUUUUUGGUGCUUGUGGCUGUGCCUUAAGUGUUCUCUGGUUCAUUCUGUUUUAUGAGGACCCAAAGGACCACCCAUAUAUAAGCAACAGAGAGAAGGAAUACAUCACAUCCGCUCUCACCCAGCAGGUCAGCUCAAGUACACUCAUCAAAGUGCCCAUCAAAGCUAUGCUGAAGUCUACUCCACUCUGGGUCAUUUCCCUCUGUAAUUUUGCUUUUUUCUGGUCAAAUACCUUCCUAAGUAUUUAUACGCCAAUAUAUAUUGACUACAAGCUUCAUGUCGAUGUAAAAGAGAAUGGGCUGCUGUCUUCCCUCCCCCAUUUGUUUGCCUGGAUUUUUGCUGUCCUAGCAGGUUAUAUGGCAGACAUCUUCCAGACAAGGAAUACUUUCAGUCUAGUCACCAUCCGGAAACUCUUCACCUCACUAGGACUUCUCCUGCCUUCCCUCUUCAGCCUCUGCCUGCUUUACCUGAAUUCCAACUACUAUGCCACUAUAAUUUUCCUGAUACUUGCUAAUUCAACAGGAAGCUUUGCUAUGGGCGGACUAAUGAUAAAUGUCUUGGAUAUCGCUCCCAGAUAUUAUGGAUUUCUUAGAGGAAUUACAAAUGUAAUUGGACUAACAGGAGGACUCAUUUCUUCCACUGUGACUGGAAUCAUCCUUAGUGAGGAUGCAGAAUCUCCCUGGCUUAAAAUCUUCCUCCUGAUGAUAGCCAAUAACAUGAUAAGCCUAAUUUUCUACCUUAUAUUUGCUAAAGCAGAAGUUCAAGACUGGGCUAAAGAAAGACAAAACACCUAUCUCUGAAGAUUGCUGUGGCUAAGGAAAUGGAGACAGCAAAAUAGACAGCCCUCUAAAGGACUCUGGAUGUAUACACUAUGGCUUCCAUUGUUUGGGGAUUUCUUUUGAUAGUGCUCAGGAUUCAUCUUCUGGAUGUUUGGAUACAAGUCCUAUUGUGAUUCUCAGUCUUCACUCCCCAUGGUUCUGGCGUCCUCUUUUGCUUUGGUAAGAAAUUGUCCUCUAGCCUCUCUAGCUUAUAUCUGGAUAACUAAAGAAAAAUUGUUUCUCUAUUUACAGCACUGUCACAGCAAAUGUGGGUUUUCCACACCAAGCAGUUCUCCAGUUUUCUGUGGACACCAAGCUCCUACCUAAUUCAAUUUUGAUAACGGCUACUCAGACACCAAUCAAAAUAGUGUGUGCCCAAGGUACCCAGACUUCUGUUUAUUUUCAGAACUCAAGGUCCCCAUGGCCCCUCCUCAAAUUUGAUAAUUUGCUAGACUGACUCCCAGAACUCAGGAAAAUUGUUUACCUACUGUUAGUGAUUUAUAUACUAAAGGAUGCAUCUGAGGAACAGUCAAACAGAAAAGAUGCAUAGGGCAAGCUCUGUGGGAAGGGAUGCAGGGCUUGCAUGCCCUCUCUGGGUGCACCACUCCCAGAACCUCUGUGUGUUUACCAUCCCAGAAAUCCUCAGAACCCCACUGUUAGGGUUUUUACAGAGAUUUUUAUUGUGUAGGCAUAAUUGAUUAAUUCACUGGCCUGUGAUGAAUAACUAAAUCUCGAGCCCCUCUCCCCUCCCCAGAUGUGGGAUGGCACAGCUGAAAGUUCCAACCUUCUAAUCAAGUCUUGGUCUUUUGGCAACCAACCCCCAUCCUGAAGCUAUCUAGAGCCCCCAUCCCCCAGUCAUCUCAUUUGUAUACCACAAAGACACCUUGGUCACUCCAGAGUUACCGAGAAUCUUGGAAGCUCUUCUGUCUGGAACCAAGGACUAAGACCAAAUAUUAUAAUAAAAGAUUCUCCUCUCUUCCCUAUCACUCAAGAAAUUAACAAGGGUUUUAGGAGCUCUGUGCCAUUUUAAGAAAUAUGUAUUUCGUCUCUACCAAAUAUGUUGCAAUAACAGUGAAAAGAGUGGAGAACACAUAGAAAUUCAGACACACCUAUGCUCUCAGGAGCUUAGAGUUAAAUAACUAACUUUCCCCUCACCAUCCCUUGUAAAAUCUCCAGGCAGCAUUUUCAGUAUGACAUAGUAUAUCAGAGAAGAUACAGAAAGUAAAGCCAAUUCAAGGUGAAAGGCUAAUUAGUCAAGCAGGUAUGAAAGGGGAAUGUCCAUGAGGGCAAACAGUGAACAACUAAGCACUGGCAUCUGAGGCGUCACUCGGUUUGCUCAGAAGUGGGUGCAUGUCUGCAUUUAGCCCAGUCCUGCACUUCUGCUUGGCCGAAAAUGAGGUAGAAAAUCAGGCCUAAUAUGCCCACAGCAGCUGAAAGUAAGAAGACAUUUCUCCAACCAAGCUCUGGAUCCUGGAGGCAGGAAACCACAAGUUAUCAACAGUCUCCUUGUUCUUGUCCAUCCUACUGCAGAAAGGCUCUGGCACCAUGUUCCAGUGACCCCACCCCCAACUCUGCCCUAAAUUAUAUAUUCCUGGUUGUUCCUAGAAUUUCUGGUGCCCAGGCCUUUCCCUCUGCUGGAAUGUUACUCCCCUCAGGUAGCCAUUUGUUUCACCCAUGUGCUUGCUUCCCAUUCUUGCUUACUUCCCAUUCUUCCCAUUCUUACUUUUUCAGCCACCCCAUUUAAACUGUAACCGCACCCCCUCUUGUAUGCCCUACUCUCCUCUCCUGCCUUACUUUUUCCCUUAGUACUUAGCAUCAUUCAGUAUAUCGUGUUUUUGUUUAGCUUAUUAAUUUUCUGUUGUUUUUUUCCCCUACCAUAUCGACCUUACAAGGGCAGGGGCUUUUGUUUUAUUCUUUUAAACAUUGCAUGGCCCAUUCCAAUAUUCAUUGCAUACUUGUUGAAUGAAUAAGUGAGUGACAAGGGAAAGAAGGGCAAUUUGAGAGUUUCUGUUUUAAACAGCCAUUUUCUGACGGUUUCUUAGGGGCUGGAAGAGAACUGAAGCUUCAAACAAAGAAAGGACUUCAUGUCAAAAAAAAAAAACCCUUUCUUUGGUUAUUCUCUAUCCAUUUUCCUGGCUUACUGGUAGAAACCACAAAAAACUUAAAGAAUGAUUGUCAUGUGAAUGUCAUAUACAUAUUUCUCACAUAAAGUCUGUACCAAGUCUGAGUCAUAUGAAGUUGUCAUCAGAUGAAUUUGUUUAUUCUGACAACUUUAAAUGCACCUCCCAGGACAGAAGGUUGUAUGAGUGUAAAAACACUAUGUACGCAAUACUGGGCAGAGGAAUUGGUAUACUAACCACUGGUGAACAUAUGUGUAAGGUGCAGAUUGCUAUUUCACUCUGUCAUCUACUCAGCAUCUCGCUCAUUUUUUCUAUAAAUAUUUGUUGGGUUCCUACACAGGAUAACCAACUCUUUCCGGAUUGCCUGGAACUUUCAAGGUUUUAGCAUUAAAAGCUUCACAUCCCAGGAAAGCCCUCAGCCCCAGGCAAAUCAGAAUGUUGGCUAUUCUAUACUUUACAAGAAAUGCUGUGAUUAUUCCUAGAAAAUUUGAUGAUUAGCAUGAGAAACUCAUACAGUGGAGCAUUCUCCUUCACUUCGUACCCUGAACAUGUGGUGAUUUCUCUGCAUGAGAUGAGCCUAGGAUGAGAAUGAGAGGCUGGGUGACCUUUCUAGGUGACUCUUGUGACUAUUAUCAUCAUCAGAACAUUUUACCUUACCUGACUGAUUAAAAAUCCAUUGACCAUGGGAGAGAUGGCUCCUGCCAGGUAAGAAAAGAUCUGUGAUAGUGCCCUGAGUAAGGCACUGUACCUGGAGAAAGCAAUGUUCCUGUGUAAGCAUAGAGUUCAUAUCAGCUGAUCUGUUGCAACGCUGUGUUUAUCUGGGGAUUCCUGGGGCUGUGUUGGUCCUUAGUCAAACCUGAGUGAAAUGUACUGACUAGUGAUGCAUAUAAUCCAGUGCCAGGAUCUGGGAUUUCCAGGGGGGUAUAAAGUGUACUAACUUGUCAACAUUCUUUAUACCAAAUGCACAAAUUGAUGGUUGGCACCUACUUUAUAUGUUCUCUUGGCUUCUGCUAAGAAGCCUUGUUUUUAGGUAUAAAAGAUCUCUCAUUGGAUGAGACAUUGGCUCCCCUAAGACCAAGGUAUCUCCCAUGUAAUUUGGUGGUUCAUUAUCUGAAGAUGAAGUGUGUCCUGUUGACUGUGAACGGUCCGUGGAUGGUCCCUGGGAGCUACAUUUGGAAGUCUCGGUCAUCUCUGAUAUUUCCUAUAUCAGACGUAAAUGUUUCUCCUGCUAUCCUCUACCUAUAUUAAAGGCUUACAUAAGCAUA